GCCGCGUUGGCGUAGUGGUAGCGCGUCCCACUUGUAGGCGGUUGCGGUGUUCGCACCGAGCCAGCUGACAUGGGAAGGUCAUUCGUUCAAUCCGGGUACGUGGCA